rnacentral:rRNA from 1 species
AUUGAACGCUGGCGGCAGGCCUAACACAUGCAAGUCGAACGGUAACAGGAAGCAGCUUGCUGCUUUGCUGACGAGUGGCGGACGUGUGAGUAAUGUCUGGGAAACUGCCCGAUGGAGGGGGAUAACUACUGGAAACGGUAGCUAAUACCGCAUAACGUCGCAAGACCAAAGAGGGGGACCUUAGGGCCUCUUGCCAUCGGCUGUGCCCAGAUGGGAUUAGCUAGUAGGUGGGGUAACGGCUCACCUAGGCGACGAUCCCUAGCUGGUCUGAGAGGAUGACCAGCCACACUGGAACUGAGACACGGUCCAGACUCCUACGGGAGGCAGCAGUGGGGAAUAUUGCACAAUGGGCGCAAGCCUGAUGCAGCCAUGCCGCGUGUAUGAAGAAGGCCUUCGGGUUGUAAAGUACUUUCAGCGGGGAGGAAGGGAGUAAAGUUAAUACCUUUGCUCAUUGACGUUACCCGCAGAAGAAGCACCGGCUAACUCCGUG